CCCUCUAAUCUCAGCCCCAUCGCAUCUACACAGUCCGCUAGACCCAUUUAGCCUACCCCGCAACCGGAACCGACCGAUUAUGAUCGGUGGGUCCGAAAACGGUGCAACCCCUAAUCCUAGUCCUAUUCCCCAUAUAUAGAUCAACUUCUAGUCUAACCCUAAAAACUAGGAACCCUGCCCAUCAUCCCUUCGCCGCCGCCACCCCAAACAUUGCCUCCAUUUCCGUGCUCGAUCAACCAGAACCACAGCCACCAGAUCCCCUUGAUUUCCCUCGCGCAGUCAGCCCGAGGGCUCGAUCCCGAAUGGAUCAAGGUGUUUUCCCCAACUCACAGCCGCGUGGGUCUCCAUGGCACCCAAGGAGAUGCUCCUCGUCCCCUGCAAGCCGAAGCAACAAGCCCCUCGUGACUUUGUCGGAGCACCAGGCUAGGACCCCGCAGCUCCCUUGCUUCAUUCCCUCUUCCCUGCUUCUUCCUCUCUCUCGUCUCAUCUCUCACAUCCCUCAUUCCUCACAAAGCCUCGUGCCAUGGAGCAAGCAGUGCUACCAUAAUGUCGCAUUGCCUCUGAACAGCUCAGGUCGCCCUGGACGUUGUAGGAUGCUCCAGCUCGACCAUGCCGCUGUCGGUAAGGUCUACGUCGUCGUUCCUCUACUCUCCAUCGUGCUUUUUUCUUUGUUGACCGAGGGUUGCCACCAUUUCCUCAGAAGCUAUGUUGUGACAUGGAACCUGUAGGUGCAGCAACAGCGGCCGGAUUCGGUGCCCCGAGGGCCAGAUCCAACCAUCCCCAACCGCCCUCGCCCGGAUCCGACCUCGCCCCCUCGCCUCCAGCAACUCCCGUCGUUGCUGCAUUUGCCCGAUGUAACACCGGACUCCUGAAGAACUUAAGGAGUUGAAAUUUCAGCAGGACUUACAUUGGUCGUUUUUGCCCAAGAAGAAAUUCAAGAAGGUUCAAGUUCAUGUGUUGGUGACCAGUUCAUUUUCUUCAUCGCGCUCGACGGAUGAAGCUAAGGAUCUUGAUGACACUUCUACCGGUCCCUCAUUGACAAACGACCCUGACAACGCUGGCGCUCCUCCAGCACCAACAAGAUGAAAUUCUUGAGGGGCGUUAGUCCUCAAUUUCAUCCAUUUUCGUCACUUGAUGACAAAGGUGGGAUUUUAGUUAAUCUUCAAGCGGGUCUACCUAUAUGGGCUAUAUUUUUUGUUAAGUUGCAACUCUCGUUCUUUUGAAGUGUUUGGUUGUAUGAGUUGUAAACUUAUGUCUGGUAGUGGUCUGAUACUUUUGAACCGUUUUUCUUCACAUGCUUAUUCCUCAUGUUGAUUAAUGCACGUGUGCUGAAUUUCGUCAUA